rnacentral:lncRNA from 1 species
GCAACCACAUAGAUCUUGAAAAGUUAUAUAAAAUCAAAAAAAAUCAUCUAAAUCCGACCUCUGGAUCAAAAGUUAUGGUCUUUAGAAGAAAAGUAAGAAGAGUAUAAAUUAAAAAAAAAUAUUAAAGCAUAGAGGCAGGGGUAGCUCAUUGGUAAAGUGAAGCACCGAACCUGGACAAGGGCUCAGGUUCAAAUCCCACAAGAGGAGUUGAUCGUGCAUUGACUGCUCUUUGACCAUCCGCUGUUGAUCGCCCACCGUC